AGACGGAGGGGGCUAGCGUUGUUCGGAAUUACUGGGCGUAAAGCGCGCGUAGGCGGUCCGUUUAGUUAGGCGUGAAAGCCCUGGGCUCAACCCGGGAACUGCGUUUAAAACUGGCGGACUAGAGUCCGGGAGAGGGUGGCGGAAUUCCCAGUGUAGAGGUGAAAUUCGUAGAUAUUGGGAAGAACACCAGUGGCGAAGGCGGCCACCUGGCCCGGUACUGACGCUGAGGUGCGAAAGCGUGGGGAGCAAACAGGAUUAGAAACCCUGGUAGUCC
rnacentral:rRNA from 1 species